ACCUGGGAUAGCUCAGUCGGUACAGCGUGAGACUCUUAAUCUCAAAGUCAUGGGAUCAAGCACUGCGUUGGGCA